CGCUCAGCGUAGAAUGCCGCACGCUUUGGAUUCAACGCUCCGAUUGGCUGUGGAAAGACAUUGGAAACAAAUCAAACCGAGAAUAUGGAUCUCAGAUGGUGGAUACUGUCACAGGAGUACCAAUUAUGAGAGAGGGCUAUAAAACAUCUAACCUCUGAACGCCGCCAUCAUACGCAAGCAAUGAAGAGAUACAGUGGCUAUUUCAUCUUUAAAGUGGGAUAACUAUAAAUAAAAACAACACAGAUCUGUCAUUUCCUGAGGAAUUGUGGAAGAAUGCGCAAAGAGCAGGAAUGUCGGAUAUGAAAUCUGAUUCUUAACCUUGGUAAAAAUCACCCACGGUUAUAUUAACCCACAUGCAGUCCUAUUGCAUUAAAUGAUUUAAGA